GACGAACGCUGGCGGCGCGCUUAACACAUGCAAGUCGAGCGAAGCGGCGGACGGGUGAGUAACACGUGAGUAACCUGCCUUAGACAUUGGGAUAGCCUCGGGAAACCGUGAUUAAUACCAAAUGGUCUAAGCUGGACUCGCGUCCCAUUAGCGAGUUGGUGAGGUAACGGCCCACCAAGGAGACGAUGGGUAGCCGGCGUGAGAAGGUGAACCGCCACAGUGGAACUGAGAAACGGACCAAACUCUGCGGGAGGCAGCAGUGGGGAAUAUUGCACAAUGGAGGGAAGUCUGAGGCAGCGGAACCGCGAGAACGUAGAGGGCGUGCGAGUCGUAAAGUGGUUUUAUAUGGGAAGCGGUAACAUAAGAAAAAGCCCCGGCUAACUACGUGCCAGCAGCCGCGGUAAUAC
rnacentral:rRNA from 1 species